ensembl:lncRNA
AGAUCACAACUAGGUUGUUUAUUUCAUAACUGAUACAAGAUUAAUGUUAUACAUUCUAUUUUAACACUGAUAUUCUGCUUUUAUUUUGUCAGUAUGCAAAAAGACAAGGCAAAGUAAACAUUUGGUGAAAUCAUGGUCGAUACAUAAUCUGAUUCUUAAUAUCAAACGAAACCUAAAGACGUUUUGUUGCCUUGUGAUUUUUUAGCAACACAAAAGAAUACAAAAUGAAAACAUCAAGUUGGCUGACAGCAAACACAAGAACCACAUGAUCUUUUGAUUUCUCAAUCAACUUAAUGCAUAUAUAAAAUACUCCCAGUUGUGUAUAUAUUUAUAUAUAUAUGCUCGUACAGUAUUAAAGAACUUAAGAGUUAUACAGCCUGUACUCUGCAUACAAAGAAAACGAGCGCAGGACACACAUACACACACAUUUGACCAUUGUUUCUCCAUAUAAACGCACAAACCAACAGGCAAAAGGCUCUCUGGCUUUAGAAGCUAAAAACUACACUUGACUUUUUAAAAAGUAACGUAAUGAAACAGACAUUCACAUUUCUGAACAAAACAUAAUCUCCAUUAUAACCUGCCUCUUAUUGAGCCAUUAUUGUCCAUUAGUUCUGUCAAUCAUAGUGCUGUUCACCAAAACCAUAGAAAUACAAAAACAAGUCCCAUUGUGCCUUUGUGUCUGACUCAGCUGACAGUUUCUCUGUGGCUGUGUCCCAGAUGUCCACAUGGCUCCCCCGCGGUGCACUCACUCUUCACUGGACAGUGCCUCUUCAUGAGUGAAAGAAUGAAUGAGAAGCGUCCCAUUUGCUGCGUGGAUGUCCUGGAGUCCAUGCAUUUAGGUGAAGUGGUGUGUGGUAUGCUGCAGGUCCAUCACUAAGGCGAAGCAGGGGCUUUGCUACUACUGUAAUGAACCUGGUAUCUGUGGACUGUCUGACCUUUCACCUCUGUGGACAGGCAGGUGGUUUUACAGGGGAUCAUGUCCUCCUCAUCUUCUCCCAUGAGCCAGUUCUGCACCGAGCGCUCAGCUGAAGUGGUCACAUGACUGGCCAGCCAUCCCUGGUGCCACUUGUCAAAUCGUUCAUGCUGGCUCCCUGCUACUCUGUUUUGUGACUGUGAAAAUAGUUAAUAUUGUAUCAGUCAAAGGCUCGGGAGAUACACCAGUACCCAACAUGUAAGCAUGCAUAUA